GACGAACGCUGGCGGCGUGCCUAAUACAUGCAAGUUGAGCGCUGAAGGUUGGUACUUGUACCGACUGGAUGAGCAGCGAACGGGUGAGUAACGCGUGGGGAAUCUGCCUUUGAGCGGGGGACAACAUUUGGAAACGAAUGCUAAUACCGCAUAAAAACUUUAAACACAAGUUUUAAGUUUGAAAGAUGCAAUUGCAUCACUCAAAGAUGAUCCCGCGUUGUAUUAGCUAGUUGGUGAGGUAAAGGCUCACCAAGGCGAUGAUACAUAGCCGACCUGAGAGGGUGAUUGGCCACAUUGGGACUGAGACACGGCCCAAACUCCUACGGGAGGCAGCAGUAGGGAAUCUUCGGCAAUGGACGAAAGUCUGACCGAGCAACGCCGCGUGAGUGAAGAAGGUUUUCGGAUCGUAAAACUCUGUUGGUAGAGAAGAACGUUGGUGAGAGUGGAAAGCUCAUCAAGUGACGGUAACUACCCAGAAAGGGACGGCUAACUACGUG
rnacentral:rRNA from 1 species